rnacentral:lncRNA from 10 species
GAGGAUGGGCAAGCCACGGCUUCUCCUUCUGGAAACGGAGAUCAUCUCCAAAGAAGACCAUCAUUUUCUACUAUGGACAAUGUGGAUGCUAGUUCUCUCCCAUUCACAGGUUCAGCACAUGUUACAGAAGAGCGUUUUCCUUCAGAGAUUAUUCACAGAUGUCCCACAGCCCAUAGCAAAUACAGGGCAUAUUAAGUUCAAAUAAAUAUAUGCAAAUAUGUGUGGAAAUGGCCUGUAGCCUGCAGGAGCCUGAGGAGAAGAGAGGAGCUAGCAGCCCCAGUCAAGUCUAGCGAAGUGCAUCUUGGCCUGCAGUGAUGGCUGUUUCCCCCAGAAAGGUCAUCUUCCACUUCUGGAUCCCACCUCGACUGAACCUUACACAAUCUACUGCUGGACUUUCCAAUGGCAUGAGUUGGUAAAUCAUCUCAUUUUUGCAAAAGCAAGUGUAACUUGAGUUUCCAUCACUUGCAGCUGAGAGAACACUUGUUCUUGAAUUUUAUCCACAAUGAGGUGCUGGAUGUUUUCUGUUUGCCCCAUGAACUCACUCUCUGCCUUCCCUGUCUUGCUGUCUACCCUUAUUGGUUCUUUUUUCCUUUCUGCUUUGGUUUCCAGUUGGCUCUGGCCAAUGAUAGAAGACGAUAAAAGAGCGAGGGAGAAUUCUUCUUCUUGCGAUAGUCUAUAUAUGUUGCUAUAGAGACUUGAACAAAGAUAAUGGCACUAAACAUGAAGAGAAGGAUGUGAUAGACAUAACUGAUGGAGUAUACUGUAGAUGCUGAUGGAGUAUAGAGCCUGCUGAACUGCAG